CGGCGAAGCCCGUUCGAGCCCGUAUUCCCGACCUGCCGUCGUGUAGUACGGAUGGGGCGACAGGACGUCGCCCCAAGCCGAGGGGGCACAGGACGUGCCCUCCAAGGCGGUCCGUACGAAACAGGCAGGUCGGGAAUACGUUUGGGCGAGACAG
rfam:Dethiosulfovibrio peptidovorans DSM 11002 ctg1, whole genome shotgun sequence.